rnacentral:rRNA from 1 species
GAUGAACGCUAGCGGCAGGCCUAACACAUGCCAGUCGAGGGAGAAGCCCUUUCGGGGGCAGAAACCGGCGCACGGGUGCGUAACGCGUAUGCAACCUACCUUUCACAGGGGGAUAGCCCGAAGAAAUUUGGAUUAAUACCCCAUAAUAUUAUUGGAUGGCAUCAUUUGAUAAUUAAAACUGCGGUGGUGAAAGAUGGGCAUGCGUCCUAUUAGCUAGUUGGAGUGGUAACGGCACCCCAAGGCUACGAUAGGUAGGGGUCCUGAGAGGGAGAUCCCCCACACUGGUACUGAGACAGGGACCAGACUCCUACGGGAGGCAGCAGUGAGGAAUAUUGGUCAAUGGUCGGAAGACUGAACCAGCCAUGCCGCGUGCAGGAAGAAUGCCUUAUGGGUUGUAAACUGCUUUUAUAUGGGAAGAAUAAGGUGUACGUGUACAUUGAUGACGGUACCAUAUGAAUAAGCAUCGGCUAACUCCGU